AAACGAGACCUUGACCUGCUAAAUAGCCCAACUCACUUUUGUGGGUUGAAACAGGUUUGUGAUGCCCUUAGAUGUUUUGGGCCGCACGCGCGCUACACUGACAGGGCCAGCGAGUACAUCUCCUUGGCCGAAAGGUCUGGGUAAUCUUGUUAAACCCUGUCGUGCUGGGGAUAGAGCAUUGCAAUUAUUGCUCUUCAACGAGGAAUGCCUAGUAAGCGCGAAGUCAUC
rnacentral:rRNA from 1 species